UAGACCCGGGGGUCUCACCUGGGGCAAUUCUGUCCCAGGGACACGGGGCCACAACUGGGGAUGUCUGUGGUCCCUAGGACUUGGGGGCUCCAGCGUCGAGCACAUGGGGCCGGGGAGGCCGCUCCACACCCCACGGUGCCCAGGAUGCCCCACAGACGGUGAGCCCCCCAUGGCAGCAGGCGGGGCUGGGGAGCCCCAAUGGAGGGACCUAGGCUUGUCUCUGAAGGCCUGGGGCCUCACGAAGCCAGCGCCGCACUCACCGCACUCCCAGCAGAGGGAGAGGGCUGAGCACCUGACCCCACCGGGCGCACCCCAGCCUGCAGAAAAGCUGUGCAUCUUCCGGCCUGCAGAAAAGCUGAAGACCCUGCAGAGGGCGGCGGUAUGCCCCACCUCCAGAGCUGGCAGGUUGGCGCUUUGCACAUUCCCUGCCUGUUCUGGACGUUUCCCAUCCAUGGAGUCACACCCUGUGUGUCCUUCUGUGUCUGGCUUCUCUCACUGAGCAUCCUGUUCUCAAGGUCCGUCCACGUGGUGGCGAGUGUCAGGGCUUCUCUCCUUUUCAGGCUGAGUGACGUUCCCAUGUGUGGAGAGACCACAUGGCAUUUGUCCAUUUAUCCGUCGAGGGACACAUGGGCUGUCCCGGCGCCCUCGGCUGCUGAGGGUGCACAGCUGCCCUCUGGCCGCCGCCUUCCCGCAGUUCAGCUGCGGAAGGAUUUCGGCAUCACACCUCCAGCAGCGCUACCGGAGGCUGCAGUUUUAUCUGUGCCAUCCUCCAGACAAAGACAUCAGCAACAGGGUGAGGAAAUCUUGAAACGCCAGGACACCUUAAAGCUCAGCCCCCACGAGGCCCAGGGAGGGUUUCCGUUGACAGCAGCGCCCCAGGUGUUCAGGACACUGUGCAUCACAACUGUGCAGGGGAAGAAUCUCUUGAAUUCUCUGCCAUCUCAGCGGGGGAGGCUGAGGAGAGGCUGGAUCAUCUCUCACUUUCAGAUGCUUUGUUUUGUCCUGUUUUUACCUAUCGGACUUGUUCGCUAGGAAAGAUCACCAGCCCCCGGCCACAUUCAUCUGGGGGAACCGCCUGUCACUUUUCCAGGGAGAGCAGUAGUUAAGAAGGAGAAGCCAAAGGAGGUCAGAGGGCAGCUGCUUCUGUAAAUCCCUUCCGGGCACGUCUGCCCUUGAAGCAGGAGCUGGACUGGCGGGUGAGUCCCAGGGCCCCCCGCCUGCAGGGAGCCUCCCUGGCUCCCAGCUUGGCGUCUGCCCUGACCACCCUACCACCACCGGCCACGUCAGUCUACCCCAGCGCUAAAGGAACCAACCACCCGACCCUCUGUACCAUCUCCUGGGGCCGCUGCAGCGGAGCGCCACAAGCUAGGCUGCUUACAUAGCAGAAAUUAUGUUCUCACGGUUCUGAAGGCCACAAGUCUGAGACGGGGUGUCGGCAGGGCUGUGCUCACUCCGUGGGGGGGGGGGCCUUCCCACCCCUCCCAGCUCCUGGUGUGGCCCACGGUCCUUGGUGUCCUGGACCUGUGGUCCCAUCACCCCAUCCUCUGUCUCCGAUUUUUUAUUUUAUUUUUAUUUUUUAAAGAUUUUUUUUGAUACGGACCAUUUUUAAAGUCUUUAUUGAAUUUGUUACAAUAUGGCUUCUGUUUUACGUUUUGGUUUUUUGGCCCAGAGGCAUGUGGGAUCUUAGUGCCCUGACCAGGGAUCAAACCCACACCCCCUGCAUUGGAAGGUGGAGUCUCUACCACUGUACCACCAGGGAAGUCCCUGUGUCUGUCUCUUAUAAGGUCAUUGGAUUCAAGGCCAUCCUCAUCCAGGAUGAGCUCAUGUCAAGACCCUUAAUUUAGUUAUAUCUGCAAAGACGUUUUUUCCAAAUAAGGAAGGCCCCAUUCUCAGGUCUGGAAGCAACCGCUGCACCAUCCUGUCCCCCCAGUCCCACGCCUUCCCUGCCCAGGACCCUCUCCCCACAGCCCCGGACCUGUCUACAACACACGGAAGAUAGAAGACUAAGGCCCUCCCUCUCUCGGAUCCCUCCCAGGGCUCCUCAGCAUAAAAUCCACACCCUCACCACCAGUCACCACCUGGGGAAGGGCUGGAUUUCAAACUCCACCCCUUCAGAAAAAUGCACUGAAAACCUUAAGCUGGGGGCUUCUCUGGCGGCGCAGUGGUUAAGAAUCCGCCUGCCAAUGCAGGGCACACCGGUUCGAGCCAGCGCCCUGGUCCGGGAAGAUCCCACAUGCCACGGAGCAAGUAAGCCAGUGAGCCACAACUACUGAAGCCCGUGCUCUGCAACAAAGAGAAGCCCACCACAGUGAGAAGCCCGCGCACCACAAGGAAGAGUAGCCCUCGCUCGCCACAACUAGAGAAAGCCAGCAGGCAGCAACAAAGACCCAACACAGCCACAAAUAAAUAAAUAAA